rnacentral:rRNA from 1 species
CAGGCGCGAAAACUUUACAAUGCAGGAAACUGUGAUAAGGGAACCCCGAGUGCCCGUAUACGCGGGCUGUCCAGGUGUUUAAAACGCAUUUGAAGAAAGGGCCGGGCAAGACCGGUGCCCGCCGCCGCGGUAAUACCGGCGGCUCGAGUGGUGGCCACUUUUAUUGGGCUUAAAGCGUCCGUAGCUGGACCCUUAAGUUUUUUGGGAAAUCCGCCGGCUUAACCGGCGGGCGUCUAAGAGAUACUGGGGGUCUAGGGACCGGGAGAGGUGAGAGGUACUCCGGGGGUAGGAGUGAAAUCCUGUAAUCCCCGGGGGACCACCUAUGGCGAAGGCAUCUCACCAGAACGGCUCCGACAGUGAGGGACGAAAGCUGGGGGAGCGAACCGGAUUAGAUACCCGGGUAGUCCCAGCCGUAAACUAUGCGCGUUAGGUGUACUGGUGACCACGAGUCACUGGGGUGCCGAAGGGAAACCGU